rnacentral:lncRNA from 1 species
AGAAAUGAAACUCCAUGUGGGUGCUUGAUGCUUGACACAACUUGACAUGAGCACGGCACAUGCUGGCAUGUAUAUUUCUUCUCUUGGCAUGUGGAGAGUGGUGGCUCCAAAGGUGAUGUGGACAAAUCCAAGUAUGGCCCUAUGGACCCAAAGCCAAAUGCAUUAAAAUUUAUUGACUGAAAAUAAAUAACUGAAGUAGAAUCAAUUUAAUGAUGCUUCUUCGAUCCAAAUCGAACUUAAAUCAUGUUGCCGAUUUUUGAUGGCUCUGGUGUCCGCACCACUAU